rnacentral:rRNA from 1 species
GGAUAACCUGCCCUUGGGACCGGCAUAACCCCGGGAAACUGGGGAUAAUUCCGGAUAACGCAUAUUUGCUGGAAUGCUUUAUGCGUCAAAAGGAUUCGUCUGCCCAAGGAUGGGUCUGCGGCCUAUCAGGUAGUAGUGGGUGUAAUGUACUUACUAGCCAGCGACGGGUACGGGUUGUGAGAGCAAGAGCCCGGAGAUGGAUUCUGAGACAUGAAUCCAGGCCCUACGGGGCGCAGCAGGCGCGAAAACUUUACAAUGCGGGAAACCGUGAUAAGGGGACACCGAGUGCCAGCAUCAUAUGCUGGCUGUCCGGAUGUGUAAAAUACAUCCGUUAGCAAGGGCCGGGCAAGACCGGUGCCAGCCGCCGCGGUAACACCGGCGGCCCGAGUGGUGAUCGUGAUUAUUGGGUCUAAAGGGUCCGUAACCGGUUUGGUCAGUCCUCCGGGAAAUCUGAUAGCUUAACUAUUAGGCUUUCGGGGGAUACUGCCAGACUUGGAACCGGGAGAGGUAAGAGGUACUACAGGGGUAGGAGUGAAAUCUUGUAAUCCCUGUGGGACCACCUGUGGCGAAGGCGUCUUACCAGAACGGGUUCGACGGUGAGGGACGAAAGCUGGGGGCACGAACCGGAUUAGAUACCCGGGUAGUCCCAGCCGUAAACGAUGCUCGCUAGGUGUCAGGCAUGGCGCGACCGUGUCUGGUGCCGCAGGGAAGCCGUGAAGCGAGCCACCUGGGAAGUACGGCCGCAAGGCUGAAACUUAA